rnacentral:rRNA from 1 species
UACGAAGGGGGCGAGCGUUGUUCGGAAUUACUGGGCGUAAAGCGCACGUAGUCGGCUUUGCAAGUCGGGUGUGAAAUCCCCGGGCUCAACCUGGGAACUGCAUCCGAGACUGCAUUGCUAGAGUAUGGGAGAGGGAAGCGGAAUUUCUGGUGUAGCAGUGAAAUGCGUAGAUAUCAGAAGGAACAUCAGUGGCGAAAGGCGGCUUCCUUGG